UGACAGAAUUUAUUUUUUGUCAGAGUUGGGGUAGCAGUGUGAGAGAGGGAGCUUGUGUAAAUAAGAUACAUGGGUCAUAAAGCAUGUAAAUAAGACAUGGGUCAUAAGAACAUGAGUCAUGCUCUCUCUUGUAUGUUUUCUGUAAGUGGCCUUAACCAUCUAGUUCAUUUACCCAUGCCUUAGAUACAUUCCUUGCAAAACAUUCCUUCCAAGUAGUUGUGUAACAUAACCUUAAACACUGAAGUCUGUAGCAGAUUACUUUGUCUGGCUGUACAUGGUUUUAAUUGAUAUUUUUAUUUUUUUCCUUAAAACCUCAUUCUAUCUAACUAAAGUAGAUUGAUGGUAGUCCAUUACCCCUUCUUUCUAAAGAACUUUUUGAUUAUAAUCAGCGAAGAUCAUUCUAGAACAUAUUCAUGAGUUCCUGAUCUUACCUUAUUUUUGUAGAUGAUUAAAUUAAGUGGAAGCAUUUGCAUAUAUAUAUGGUUGGUUCUGAAUUCAAGAUUCUUCUCACAGGUACUGCAUAAACUCAGUAAAAAUUUAGUCUAUUAUUUUGUCUUUAAUUACACUUAAAAUAUGUGUGAACAAGAUUGAUGAAAUAAAUGUGAAUUGAAAUACAUUCCACAUGUUAUUUAUAUAACCAGUGGGUCCUAGGAUUAAUACCUGGGUGAUGCAAAAAUCUGUACAACAAACCCCCAUGUUACCUAUGUAACAAACUUGCCCUUGUACCCCUGAACUUAAAAUAAAAGUGGAAAAAAAAAGAAAAAUGAUCCAAACAGC
rnacentral:lncRNA from 10 species